GCGCUGCAGAUGAAGGAACUGCAGAGGAGGAUGCUGCUGCUUUAAUCAAGGAAAGUGGAACUGAGAAGCCAAUAGUAGCAUUCAUUGCCGGUCUUACAGCUCCACCCGGUCGUCGUAUGGGUCAUGCUGGAGCUAUUGUGUCAGGAGGCC